rnacentral:rRNA from 1 species
UACGUAGGGGGCUAGCGUUGUCCGGAAUCAUUGGGCGUAAAGAGCGUGUAGGCGGCCGGGUAAGUCCGGUGUGAAAACUCGAGGCUUAACCUCGAGAUGUCAUCGGAAACUAUUCGGCUAGAGUCCGGAAGAGGAGAGUGGAAUUCCUGGUGUAGCGGUGAAAUGCGCAGAUAUCAGGAAGAACACCCGUGGCGAAAGCGGCUCUCUGGGACGGUACUGACGCUGAGACGCGAAAGCGUGGGGAGCAAACAGG